CGAGGAGGAGCCUGCUCUCACCACCAUGGAAUUGCCUUGGACGGAGUCCUUGGCCCCAGCCGGGCUGUCCCCGUUUGCCCGGCUCUUGGCAGAAGCAACAGAGCAGCAGCCGCAGCCCUGAGACUGUGGCACCCCCUUAGCCUGCAGGCCUGGAGGAGGGCACAACUUCAGGGCUCCAUGGCCACUCCCUGAGUGCAGACAGACGUGGCCCAAGGAAUUCCCCAUACAUUCAGACAUGCUGCUGGGCUUUAGUUCCUGGUCUUCGUCCCUGGUUACAGCUUGAUUCUGCCAGUCCUCAUUGAGGGCAUGAGGAAGAGGCUUUCUUCAGGCCACACCCUUAAAAGGCACCUGUGCGCUCACAGUCUCUCGGCCUGAGUUGAAGACUGAAUGAAGGCAACUUCAAGCCAACUUAACACCGAAUCCAGACAAGACAGCGUACCAAUGCCCUGCUGGGCCAAACGAGGCAUCUGAUUUGCUCACUAGCCCUUUU